rnacentral:rRNA from 1 species
CCCGGUGACUUUAGCGAGGAGGUCACACCCGUUCCCAUUCCGAACACGGAAGUUAAGCUCCUCAGCGCCGAUGGUACUGCAUGGGUAACUGUGUGGGAGAGUAGGUCGUUGCCGGGU